AGAGUUUGAUCCUGGCUCAGAUUGAACGCUGGCGGCGUGCCUAACACAUGCAAGUCGAGCGGUAACAGGUGUAGCAAUACAUGCUGACGAGCGGCGAACGGGUGAGUAAUGCUUUGGAAUCUUCCCAGUAGUGGGGAAUAACCAGUCGAAAGAUUGGCUAAUACCGCAUACGUCUGUAAAGGGAAAGCGGGGGCUCGUAAGACCUCGCGCUAUUGGAUGAGCCAAAGUCGGAUUAGCUAGUUGGUGGGGUAAUGGCCUACCAAGGCAUAGAUCGGUAGCCGGCCUGAGAGGGCACACGGCCACACUGGCACUGAGACACGGGCCAGACUCCUACAGGAGGCAGCAGUGGGGAAUCUUGCACAAUGGGGGCAACCCUGAUGCAGCGACGCCGCGUGAGCGAUGAAGCCCUUCGGGGUGUAAAGCUCUUUCGUCAGGGAAGAAACAGACGGUACCUGGAGAAGCAGCUGCGGCUAACUACGUGCCAGCAGCCGCGGUAAUACGUAGGCAGCGAGCGUUGUUCGGAGUUACUGGGCGUAAAGGGUGUGUAGGCGGUUCUUUAAGUUUGUUGUGAAAUCUCCCGGCUUAACCGGGAGGGUGCGGCGAAUACUGAGGGACUAGAGUAUGGGAGAGGAAAGUGGAAUUCCUGGUGUAGCGGUGAAAUGCGUAGAUAUCAGGAGGAACACCGGUGGUGUAGACGGCUUUCUGGACCAUAACUGACGCUGAGACACGAAAGCGUGGGUAGCAAACAGGAUUAGAUACCCUGGUAGUCCACGCCCUAAACGGUGCAUAUUUGGUGUGGGCAGUUCAUUCUGUCCGUGCCGGAGCUAACGCGUUAAAUAUGCCGCCUGGGGAGUACAGUCGCAAGGCUGAAACUCAAAGGAAUUGACGGGGGCCCGCACAAGCGGUGGAGCAUGUGGUUCAAUUCGACGCAACGCGAAGAACCUUACCUGGGCUCGAACGGCUUCUCAACGUCGUUAGAAAUAGCGAUACCCCGCAAGGGGGUGGAGUCGAGGUGCUGCAUGGCUGUCGUCAGCUCGUGUCGUGAGAUGUUGGGUUAAGUCCCGCAACGAGCGCAACCCCUGUCCUGUGUUGCCAUCAUUCAGUUGGGAACUCGCAGGAGACCGCCAGCGAUAAGCUGGAGGAAGGUGGGGAUGACGUCAAGUCCUCAUGGCCUUUAUGUCCAGGGCUACACACGUGCUACAAUGGACGGUACAAACCGCUGCAAACCCGCGAGGGGGAGCCAAUCGGAAAAAACCGUUCUCAGUUCGGAUUGCAGGCUGCAACUCGCCUGCAUGAAGCUGGAAUCGCUAGUAAUGGCAGAUCAGCACGCUGCCGUGAAUACGUUCCCGGGCCUUGUACACACCGCCCGUCACAUCACGAAAGUGGAUUGCACUAGAAGUCUGCACGUUAACCCGCAAGGGAGACAGCGGCCCAAGGUAUGAUUCAUGAUUGGGGUGAAGUCGUAACAAGGUAACC
rnacentral:rRNA from 1 species